UACGUAGGGUGCAAGCGUUGUCCGGAAUUAUUGGGCGUAAAGAGCUCGUAGGCGGUUUGUCACGUCUGCUGUGAAAACUCGGGGCUUAACUCCGGGCCUGCAGUGGGUACGGGCAGACUAGAGUGCGGUAGGGGAGACUGGAAUUCCUGGUGUAGCGGUGAAAUGCGUAGAUAUCAGGAGGAAUACCGAUGGCGAAGGCAGGUCUCUGGGCUGACACUGACGCUCAUGCACGAAAGCGUGGGGAGCAAACAGG
rnacentral:rRNA from 1 species